rnacentral:misc_RNA from 1 species
AAAGUCGUAACAAGGUUUCCGUAGGUGAACCUGCGGAAGGAUCAUUACAAAUCCACACGUCUCUCCCACGAGACCACGUUGAACUGUUUUGAGACGCACUCUUGACUGUCACUUGAUGUGUCGUGCUUUGUGCCCCUUGGGGCCUGCCGGCCGCCUUGUGCUUUCAGGCAGGUGUCUCACACCCUUUGUUCUCUAGUAGUGAUGUUGCACAUAAGUAUCAUUCCUCUUGUGAAUAACAACGAGAAACAACUUAUAACAAUGGAUCUCUAGGCUCUU